rnacentral:rRNA from 1 species
GUCCACGGCCACGCGACCCUGAACCAGCCCCAUCCCGGCUGACCUCGGAAGCUCAGCAGGGUUGGGCCUGGUUAGUACCUAGAUGGGAGACCGCCUAGGAAGACCAGGUGCGUAGGCA